rnacentral:lncRNA from 1 species
CUCGGACAAAAACCUAAGCAAGAAAAAUUGAUUAAAUUAGAUCAGAUCAAAGAAUGUUUAUAGCACAAGAACACUAUGACUCAACUGAUUUUUUCACCAUCUAUUCUCUUAUAACAAAAGGGAGAUGGAAGAAGAGAAGAGAACAGGAAAGUUGAAUUUGAUGGGGAUCUCUUCAGAUAUAUCAUUGACCAAAUCUUCGGGAAUGCACAAUGUAUGAGAGAGAGGCUAAAGAAUGAAUGGGACUGAGUGGUCAUCUCAAGUCCAUCGCUUCAAGGAAGCAGUUUGGAGUGGUCUGCAGCCGGCAGAGUUGGAGGAGCAGUUCGCCGACUUCCACCGAAAAUGUCGUCACCAAACGGAACCUUUCCAAGUAGUUUCCCGCCUUUGAAGUACAAUUAUCACGUGAGCAAUUUUUGCAACAUGAAAUCAAUAUAGAAAUGGGUUAAUUUGAUAUCAGAGAAAGAGGAAAACACGGCAAGG